rnacentral:pre_miRNA from 1 species
AGAGGAAUAGCUGGGUCAAAUUGUGGUUCCAUUUCCAGAUUUCCAAGGAAUCUCCAUACUGCUUUCCAUUUUGGCUGCGCCAAUUUGCAGUCCCAUCAGCAAU